rnacentral:tRNA from 1 species
GCCGAUAUAGCUCAGGUGGGAGAGCGUUAGAUUAUAGAUCGAAAGUCCCUGGUUCAAUCCCGGGUUUUCGCA